GUUUUGUGUGGCAAGGUUUUGGUAGCGGGAGGGGCUACAGGGGUGGCUUCUGUGAGAAGCUGCUAGAAGCUUCCCCUGUGUCUGAUGGAGCCAAUGCCAGCCGGCUCCAAGAUGGAUCCGCCCCUGGCCAAGGCCAAGCCAAUCAGCGCCUCUGUGAUAACAUAUUUAAGAAGGAAAACAAAGGAGUUAAAGUAAGUUUUUUGCAACCAGAGAGAGGAGCGAGAAGAUGUAAGAAACUCUGCAGACACUAAGGUCAGUGAGGAAGGAGGGGGAGGAGGUGCUCCAGACACCAGAGCAAAGAUCCCCCUGCAGCCCGUGGUGAAAACCAUGGUGAGGCAGGCUGUCCCCUGCAGCCCAUGGAGGAAGGAUGAGGGGGUGUAGAGAUUCUACCUGCAGCCCGUGGAGGACCCCACGCUGGAGCAGGUGGAGGCACCUGAAGGAGGCUGUGGCCCGUGGGAAGCCCACGCUGGAGCAAGUCCGGGCCGGACCGGUAGACCCGUGAAGAGGGGAGCCCACGCCAGGGCAGGUUUGCUGGCAGGACGUGUGACCCUGUGGGAGGGACCCAACGCUGGAGCAGUCUGCUCCUGAAGGUCUGCACCCUGUGGGAGAGACUACGCUGGAGCGGUUUGUGAAGGACUGUAGCCCGUGGGAGAGACUCCAUGUUGGAGCAGGGGAAUGUUGAGAGGAGUCCUCCCCCUGAGGACAAAGAAGUGGCAGAGACAAUGUGUGCUGAACUGACCGCAACCCCCAUUCCCUGCCCCCUUGUGCCGCUGAGGGGGGAGGAGGUUGAAGCCGGGAGUGAAGUUGAGCCCGAGAAGAUGGGAGGGGUGGGGGGAGGUGUUUUAAGACUUGAUUGUAUUUUCUCAUUGCUCUACUCUGUUUUGCCUAGUAAUAAAUUAGAUGAAUCUCCUCUCUACAUUCAGUCUGUUUUGCUCCUGACGGUAAUUAGCGAGUGAUCUCCCCCUGUCCUUAUCUCGACCCAAGCCUUUUGUUAGACUUCUCCUCUCCCAUCCCGCUGGGGGAGGGGUGAGUGAGCGGCCGCGUGGCACCCAGCUACCGGCUGGGCCUAAACCACGACAGUCCUUUUUUGGCGCCCAACGUGGGGCUCGAGAUAAGGAUAGUAAUUGGAAGAGGUAAGGAGCAAAACAUGAACUGAAUGUAGUUUGAGAAUGAAAUAGUGGUGAAGGGACGAGAGGUGGAUUCCAUGUUUUGAUUUUGGUGUGGGGAAUUCUUUUUUUUUUCUUUGUAAUGUGAUUACUGUUUGUGAAUUUUUUGUGUUGAAUGUAUAUUUUAAUGAUAAUUCUUAAAUAUGUGAUUCACAGAGGCGAGGGGUGGAAUGUGUUGGGUUUUGUGUGGCAAGGUUUUGGUAGCGGGAGGGGCUACAGGGGUGGCUUCUGUGAGAAGCUGCUAGAAGCUUCCCCUGUGUCUGAUGGAGCCAAUGCCAGCCGGCUCCAAGAUGGAUCCGCCCCUGGCCAAGGCCAAGCCAAUCAGCGCCUCUGUGAUAACAUAUUUAAGAAGGAAAACAAAGGAGUUAAAGUAAGUUUUUUGCAACCAGAGAGAGGAGCGAGAAGAUGUAAGAAACUCUGCAGACACUAAGGUCAGUGAGGAAGGAGGGGGAGGAGGUGCUCCAGACACCAGAGCAAAGAUCCCCCUGCAGCCCGUGGUGAAAACCAUGGUGAGGCAGGCUGUCCCCUGCAGCCCAUGGAGGAAGGAUGAGGGGGUGUAGAGAUUCUACCUGCAGCCCGUGGAGGACCCCACGCUGGAGCAGGUGGAGGCACCUGAAGGAGGCUGUGGCCCGUGGGAAGCCCACGCUGGAGCAAGUCCGGGCCGGACCGGUAGACCCGUGAAGAGGGGAGCCCACGCCAGGGCAGGUUUGCUGGCAGGACGUGUGACCCUGUGGGAGGGACCCAACGCUGGAGCAGUCUGCUCCUGAAGGUCUGCACCCUGUGGGAGAGACCCCACGCUGGAGCAGUCUGCUCCUGAAGGUCUGCACCCUGUGGGAGAGACUACGCUGGAGCGGUUUGUGAAGGACUGUAGCCCGUGGGAGAGACUCCAUGUUGGAGCAGGGGAAUGUUGAGAGGAGUCCUCCCCCUGAGGACAAAGAAGUGGCAGAGACAAUGUGUGCUGAACUGACCGCAACCCCCAUUCCCUGCCCCCUUGUGCCGCUGAGGGGGGAGGAGGUUGAAGCCGGGAGUGAAGUUGAGCCCGAGAAGAUGGGAGGGGUGGGGGGAGGUGUUUUAAGACUUGAUUGUAUUUUCUCAUUGCUCUACUCUGUUUUGCCUAGUAAUAAAUUAGAUGAAUCUCCUCUC